UACGUAGGGCGCAAGCGUUGUCCGGAAUUAUUGGGCGUAAAGAGCUCGUAGGCGGCUUGUCACGUCGGGUGUGAAAGCCCGGGGCUUAACCCCGGGUCUGCAUUCGAUACGGGCAGGCUAGAGUGUGGUAGGGGAGAUCGGAAUUCCUGGUGUAGCGGUGAAAUGCGCAGAUAUCAGGAGGAACACCGGUGGCGAAGGCGGAUCUCUGGGCCGAAAUUGACGCUGAGGAGCGAAAGCGUGGGGAGCAAACAGG
rnacentral:rRNA from 1 species